rnacentral:rRNA from 1 species
UUCGGUAGUUAUAGCAGGGAGGAUACACCCGUUUCCAUCCCGAACACGGAAGUUAAGCUCUCUAGCGCCGAUGGUACUGCUCUGGCAACGGGGUGGGAGAGUAGGUCACUGCCGAGA